AUGGGUCCUCAUGACAGGCCAACCCCUUUAGUCCUAGGCACACCUAUUUUGGAUCGCUUGGAUACUUUGUACAAUCGGUGCAAACGCAAGUUGAUUUGUGAUUUUCGAUCAGGAAGAAAAAAAGCUGUUUCACGGGGGAGGUCUUAUUAUGGUGCGCCAGGUUUUACCUGUCGGAAAUGUGGGGCAUUUUAUUGGUUUCAUGAAGGGUCCACACGUCAUAAGGAUGAUAAUCCUCGACAGCCUAUUUAUACCGGUUGCUGCCGAGAUGGCAAGAUUUCUUUGCCAAAGUUUGCUGAUUGGCCCUAUCCGUUGAAGGAUUUACUUCGUUUCAAUGGUGGCCCUGUUUGUGCCUGUUUCAUGCACUUGAUUAGACAUUAUAAUUCUAUGUUUUGUUUCACAUCUCUUGAUGCUCAAAUUAAUCACAGUGUUAACGUUGGGGGUGGUCCAUAUGUAUUUAAAAUGAACGGGGUCGUUUAUCACAGGAUCGGUCCUCUUCUUCCUUCUGAAGAUGAAAGCCCUAAGUUUGCACAGCUAUAUAUUGUUGAUUCAGCUGAUGAAGUCAAAAGUAGAAUUAAUGUGUUCGAUCGUGAAGGCGAUAGUUCUCUUGAGCCUGAUCAAGAGAUAUACCCCUUGCUUUUCCCAUAUGGGGACAAAAGUUAUCAUUUGGGUAUUAAAUAUGUCAACAAUGAUGAUGAUUCUUCCAAUGUGAAUGCACGUGGUGUUCUGUUUGAAGAGACACCUGAUACUGGUGCUAUUGUGCCUCUGCGUUCUAAAGUGCCACGGAGCCAAGUUUCUAUGUUGGAAUAUUAUGGUUAUUAUCUUCAUUAUCGUGAGGGGGAACCAAAUCCUUAUACCAGUUGUGGGCGACUCAGUCAACAGGUGGCUGUCAAUGCUUAUUCUUGUGUUGAGUCGGACCGUUUGGAGUAUCAUUUUUGGAAUCAGGACAAUUUACGAUCUGAGACUUAUCAGGGAAUAUCUGAUGCAAUUGGAGAAGGUAGUUCUACUGGAAAGAAUGUUGGUAUGCAAUUUAUACUGCAUGGAAGUUUUACUGGUGAGCGCCGAAUUUCAGAAGAGAGGUCUUCCUCAUACUCAUACAUUAGUUUGGUUGAAGGCCAGUACCAAGGAUCCUUCUCCAUCUUUUAUCAAUGA
rnacentral:rRNA from 1 species